rnacentral:misc_RNA from 1 species
AAAGCCAAUCCAAUGAGACAGGAGACAGGUAGUCAAAACAAGGGUAGAAAGGAGAAUCAUAGAAUGAAUAAAAGGUAAGGGUCGAAGGACUUUUUGAAAUCCGAUCGGUGUAAACAUGAUAUUCAUUUUUCUUUGUCCUUUCUUAGCUUCCCCCAAAAAAAAGAGAAACUUGUAGGAAAUCGCCGGUUGGAUUUGGUUAUCCAACCAGGAAAGGCAUGGGGCUUUUGGGCAUGGUAACUAAACACUUAGUUAGCGUUAGCUUUUU